AGAUGUGAGAGUGAUCUGACUGUGACAUCUGUCACUGCUGAUUCAGGUAAUGUGGCUGCAUCGGCAGUUGUCCUCUUCCCUUAUUCCCAUGCCAUGUGCCUUCUUCAUGAAGGUGUGCACUCCUUCAGAGAAGACAGCCUUCCCUGAUGGAGGGCCACCAUUGCCUUGGUCAAGGGUAUGUGAGGAGCUGAGUUCCCCUGCCAGAACCUCCAGACAAGCUCUCAGGAGUGCAAAGGAAAAUAAGCACUUAAUGAUCAAAAAGGCUUUCAUUUUUU
rnacentral:snRNA from 1 species